rnacentral:rRNA from 1 species
GAUGAACGCUGGCGGCGUGCCUAAUACAUGCAAGUCGAGCGAACAGACGAGGAGCUUGCUCCUCUGACGUUAGCGGCGGACGGGUGAGUAACACGUGGAUAACCUACCUAUAAGACUGGGAUAACUUCGGGAAACCGGAGCUAAUACCGGAUAAUAUAUUGAAUCGCAUGGUUCAAUAGUGAAAGACGGUUUUGCUGUCACUUAUGGAUGGAUCCGCGCCGCAUUAGCUAGUUGGUAAGGUAACGGCUUACCAAGGCAACGAUGCGUAGCCGACCUGAGAGGGUGAUCGGCCACACUGGAACUGAGACACGGUCCAGACUCCUACGGGAGGCAGCAGUAGGGAAUCUUCCGCAAUGGGCGAAAGCCUGACGGAGCAACGCCGCGUGAGUGAUGAAGGUCUUCGGAUCGUAAAACUCUGUUAUUAGGGAAGAACAAAUGUGUAAGUAACUAUGCACGUCUUGACGGUACCUAAUCAGAAAGCCACGGCUAACUACGUG